rnacentral:rRNA from 1 species
CGCAAGCCUGACGGAGCAACGCCGCGUGUGGGAAGAAGGCUCUUGGGCUGUCAACCACUUUUCUCAGGGAAGAAGCCCUGACGGUACCUGAGAAAUCAGCCUCGGCUAACUCCGUGCCAGCAGCCGCGGUAAUACGGAGGAGGCAAGCGUUAUCCGGAAUUAUUGGGCGUAAAGCGUCCGCAGGGGGCACAUCAAGUCUGCUGUUAAAGGCUGGAGCUUAACUCCGGUAGAGCAGUGGAAACUGGUGUGCUAGAGGGCGACAGGGGUAGAGGGAAUUCCCAGUGUAGCGGUGAAAUGCGUAGAGAUUGGGAAGAACACCGGUGGCGAAAGCGCUCUACUGGGUCGCACCUGACCCUCAGGGACGAAAGCUAAGGUAGCG